UACGAAGGGGGCUAGCGUUGCUCGGAAUCACUGGGCGUAAAGGGUGCGUAGGCGGGUCUUUAAGUCAGGGGUGAAAUCCUGGAGCUCAACUCCAGAACUGCCUUUGAUACUGAGGAUCUUGAGUUCGGGAGAGGUGAGUGGAACUGCGAGUGUAGAGGUGAAAUUCGUAGAUAUUCGCAAGAACACCAGUGGCGAAGGCGGCUCACUGGCCCGAUACUGACGCUGAUGCACGAAAGCGUGGGGGAGCAAACAGG
rnacentral:rRNA from 1 species